UCCUCUCUCUUGUUGUCAUUUUCCUGCGCCGGUGAAAAACGCACGUUUUCCCCAUUUUCACCGACAUAAACAAAAGCUAUUUAUACACGAUCGGCCAAAUCGGAGAGGCAGCCUAAGUGCGGCAGUAGAAUUCUUUGUUUUCCGAAUCCGAAUGCGUGCAGUGGGCUGUGUGUACAUGUGGAUGUUGGCCAAAAACAAGACGGCGGCCAAUUAGAGCAGCAGCAGAAGAGGAAGCUCACGAUUUAUUGGGCAAUUGUGGCCAAGAAUCCCAAAGGGGCCACUUCACGCUUAUAAUCGAAUGCAUAGACACACCAAUGGGAUAACCACCUAGAAGGAGCAGACUAUUCAACCAUCAUGAUUCAUACCAUCACCUAUUGGUAGUCACUGAUCUGAUCUUAUCCCGAAACACGGAAACACUAAGAUAAGCCAAUUGCCAAGAAUUUGAGUGCUCAGUUGUGUCAACAACCGGAUCUGAUUGACUUGCUGCAGUAGAUGCGGCCACAAUUAAUUUGCACAACAAUGGACUGAUGCGAACAGUUGUUAGCCGAUGUCUGCCAAAAAAACGAAAAAUACAGCAAAAGGAAGGGCAGCGUCAGCAACAACAACAAUCGCCAGAGCAGCAGCA
rnacentral:sRNA from 1 species